GGCCUUUUGAUUAUAAUUUAAGGUCGGGCCUGCCCAAUGAAAAAUUUAAUGGCCGCGGUAUAUUAACUGUGCAAAGGUAGCAUAAUCAUUAGUUUUUUAAUUGAAAGCUGGAAUGAAGGGUUUAAUGAAAAAAGUUCUGUUUCUACUUGAGUUUAUUAGAAUUUUAUUUUUAAGUUAAAAAGCUUAAAUAUUUAUUGAAGACGAGAAGACCCUAUAGAGUUUUAUAUUUUUAAAAAUUAUUGUAUUUGGUAUUUUUAAUUUAAUUUUUAAAAAUAUUUGGUUGGGGUGAUUGAAAAAUUAAAAAAACUUUUUUUUUAUUAAACAUUAAUUUAUGAGUAAAUGAUCCUUUUUUUAGAUUAAAAGAAAAAAUUACCUUAGGGAUAACAGCGUAAUUUUUUUUAGAGUUCUUAUCGAAAGAAAAGAUUGCGACCUCGAUGUUGGAUUAAAAUAAGUUUUUGGUGCAGAAGCUAAAAAACUAGGUCUGUUCGACCUUUAAAUUUUUACAUGAUCUGAGUUUAGACCGGUUUGAG
rnacentral:rRNA from 1 species